rnacentral:rRNA from 1 species
ACUACGGGAGGCAGCAGUGAGGAAUAUUGGUCAAUGGGCGCGAGCCUGAACCAGCCAAGUAGCGUGAAGGAUGACUGCCCUACGGGUUGUAAACUUAUUUUAUAAAGGAAUAAAGUGAGGCACGUGUGCCUUUUUGUAUGUACUUUAUGAAUAAGGAUCGGCUAACUCCGUGCCAGCAGCCGCGGUAAGACGGAGGAUCCGAGCGUUAUCCGGAUUUAUUGGGUGUAAAGGGAGCGUAGAUGGGUUGUUAAGUCAGUUGUGAAAGUUUGCGGCUCAACCGUAAAAUUGCAAUUGAUACUGGCAGUCUUGAGUACAGUUGAGGUAGGCGGAAUUCGUGGUGGAGCGGUGAAAUGCUUAGAUAUCACGAAGAACUCCGAUUGCGAAGGCAGCUUACUAAACUGCCACUGACAUUGAUGCUCGAAAGUGUGGGUAUCAAACAGGAUUAGAUACCCGGGUAGUC